rnacentral:rRNA from 1 species
CAGCAGCCGCGGGAAUACGUAGGUCCCGAGCGUUGUCCGGAUUUAUUGGGCGUAAAGCGAGCGCAGGCGGUUAGAUAAGUCUGAAGUUAAAGGCUGUGGCUUAACCAUAGUACGCUUUGGAAACUGUUUAACUUGAGUGCAGAAGGGGAGAGUGGAAUUCCAUGUGUAGCGGUGAAAUGCGUAGAUAUAUGGAGGAACACCGGUGGCGAAAGCGGCUCUCUGGUCUGUAACUGACGCUGAGGCUCGAAAGCGUGGGGAGCAAACAGGAUUAGAUACCCCGGUAGUCCCUGUCUCUUAUACC